CCUACGGGAGGCAGCAGUGAGGAAUAUUGGUGAAUGGACGAGAGUCUGAACCAGCCAAGUAGCGUGAAGGAUGACUGCCCUAUGGGUUGUAAACUUCUUUUAUAGGGGAAUAAAAAGUGCCACGUGUGGGAUGUGGUAUGUACCAGAGGAAUAAGGAUCGGCUAACUCCGUGCCAGCAGCCGCGGUAAUACGGAGGAUCCGAGCGUUAUCCGGAUUUAUUGGGUUUAAAGGGAGCGUAGGUGGAUUGUUAAGUCCGUUGUGACAGUUUGCGGCUCAACCCUCAAAUUGCCGUUGAAACUGGCAUUCUUGAGUCCAGUAGAGGUGGGCGGAAUUCGUGGUGUAGCGGU
rnacentral:rRNA from 1 species